GAUGAAGAACGUAGCGAACGUGCGAAACGUAAUGUGAAUUGCAGAAUUCAGUGAAUCAUCGAAUCUUUGAACGCAUCUUGCGCUCCUUGGUAUUCCGAGGAGCAUGCCUGUUUGAGUGUCGUGAAUACUCUCAACUUCAACCCUUUUUUCGGAAAGGGAGGAAGGUUGGACUUGGGUGUUUGUUGAAGUGCGAGCUUCGACUCAUCGUAAAUGCAUUAGCGAUCUGCCUCGAUCACACACAAUGUGAUAAUUAAAACUAAAGCAUUGUUUAAUGAUCAAGUCGAGACUGCUUCUAACUGUCGCAAGACAAUAACGUGCAUACAUUUGUGCAUGUCAUUUGACCUCAAAUCAGGUAGGACUACCCGCUGAACUUAAGCAUAUCAAUAAGCGGAGGA
rnacentral:misc_RNA from 1 species